UACGGGGGGAGCAAGCGUUGUUCGGAUUUACUGGGCGUAAAGGGCGCGUAGGCGGCCACCGCAAGUCACUUGUGAAAUCUCCGGGCUUAACCCGGAAAGGUCAACUGAUACUGCGGGGCUAGAGUGCAGAAGGGGCAACUGGAAUUCUCGGUGUAGCGGUGAAAUGCGUAGAUAUCGAGAGGAACACCUGCGGCGAAGGCGGGUUGCUGGGCUGACACUGACGCUGAGGCGCGAAGGCCAGGGGAGCGAACGGG
rnacentral:rRNA from 1 species